rnacentral:rRNA from 1 species
UACGUAGGGUGCAAGCGUUAAUCGGAAUUACUGGGCGUAAAGCGUGCGCAGGCGGUUCGGAAAGAGAGGUGUGAAAUCCCAGGGCUUAACCUUGGAACUGCACUUCUAACUACCGGGCUAGAGUACGUCAGAGGGGGGUAGAAUUCCCGGUGUAGCAGUGAAAUGCGUAGAGAUCGGGAGGAACACCAGUGGCGAAGGCGGCCUUCUGGACCAAUACUGACGCUCAUGCACGAAAGCGUGGGGAGCAAACAGG